GGAUGUAGCUUGGUUGGUAGAGUGCUUGUCUUGCAUGCACAAGACCCUGGGUUCUAAUCCCCAGCACCA
rnacentral:tRNA from 1 species